AGACCACCAGCUAAGGUCCCAAAAUAUAUGUUAAGUGGAAAAGGAUGUGGCGUUGCCCAGACAACUAGGAUGUUGGCUUAGAAGCAGCCAUCAUUUAAAGAGUGCGUAAUAGCUCACUAGUCGAGUGACACUGCGCCGAAAAUGUACCGGGGCUAAACAUAUUACCGAAGCUGUGGAUUGUCCUUUGGACAAUGGUAGGAGAGCGUUCUAAGGGCGUUGAAGCAUGAUCGUAAGGACAUGUGGAGCGCUUAGAAGUGAGAAUGCCGGUGUGAGUAGCGAAAGACGGGUGAGAAUCCCGUCCACCGAUUGACUAAGGUUUCCAGAGGAAGGCUCGUCCGCUCUGGGUUAGUCGGGUCCUAAGCUGAGGCCGACAGGCGUAGGCGAUGGAUAACAGGUUGAUAUUCCUGUACCACCUAUAAUCGUUUUAAUCGAUGGGGGGACGCAGUAGGAUAGGCGAAGCGUGCGAUUGGAUUGCACGUCUAAGCAGUAAGGCUGAGUAUUAGGCAAAUCCGGUACUCGUUAAGGCUGAGCUGUGAUGGGGAGAAGACAUUGUGUCUUCGAGUCGUUGAUUUCACACUGCCGAGAAAAGCCUCUAGAUAGAAAAUAGGUGCCCGUACCGCAAACCGACACAGGUAGUCAAGAUGAGAAUUCUAAGGUGAGCGAGCGAACUCUCGUUAAGGAACUCGGCAAAAUGACCCCGUAACUUCGGGAGAAGGGGUGCUCUUUAGGGUUAACGCCCAGAAGAGCCGCAGUGAAUAGGCCCAAGCGACUGUUUAUCAAAAACACAGGUCUCUGCUAAACCGUAAGGUGAUGUAUAGGGGCUGACGCCUGCCCGGUGCUGGAAGGUUAAGAGGAGUGGUUAGCUUCUGCGAAGCUACGAAUCGAAGCCCCAGUAAACGGCGGCCGUAACUAUAACGGUCCUAAGGUAGCGAAAUUCCUUGUCGGGUAAGUUCCGACCCGCACGAAAGGCGUAACGAUUUGGGCACUGUCUCAACGAGAGACUCGGUGAAAUCAUAGUACCUGUGAAGAUGCAGGUUACCCGCGACAGGACGGAAAGACCCCGUGGAGCUUUACUGUAGCCUGAUAUUGAAAUUCGGCACAGCUUGUACAGGAUAGGUAGGAGCCUUUGAAACGUGAGCGCUAGCUUACGUGGAGGCGCUGGUGGGAUACUACCCUAGCUGUGUUGGCUUUCUAACCCGCACCACUUAUCGUGGUGGGAGACAGUGUCAGGCGGGCAGUUUGACUGGGGCGGUCGCCUCCUAAAAGGUAACGGAGGCGCUCAAAGGUUCCCUCAGAAUGGUUGGAAAUCAUUCAUAGAGUGUAAAGGCAUAAGGGAGCUUGACUGCGAGACCUACAAGUCGAGCAGGGUCGAAAGACGGACUUAGUGAUCCGGUGGUUCCGCAUGGAAGGGCCAUCGCUCAACGGAUAAAAGCUACCCCGGGGAUAACAGGCUUAUCUCCCCCAAGAGUUCACAUCGACGGGGAGGUUUGGCACCUCGAUG
rnacentral:rRNA from 1 species